AUUGAACGCUGGCGGAAUGCUUUACACAUGCAAGUCGAGCGGCAGCACGGGGGCAACCCUGGUGGCGAGCGGCGAACGGGUGAGUAAUACAUCGGAACAUGCCCAGUCGUGGGGGAUAACACUUCGAAAGAAGUGCUAAUACCGCAUACGUCCUGAGGGAGAAAGCGGGGGAUCUUCGGACCUCGCGCGAUUGGAGUGGCCGAUGUCAGAUUAGCUAGUUGGUGGGGUAAAGGCCUACCAAGGCAACGAUCUGUAGCUGGUCUGAGAGGAUGAUCAGCCACACUGGGACUGAGACACGGCCCAGACUCCUACGGGAGGGAGCAGUGGGGAAUUUUGGACAAUGGGGGCAACCCUGAUCCAGCCAUUCCGCGUGAGUGAAGAAGGCCUUCGGGUUGUAAAGCUCUUUUGUCCGGGAAGAAACGGUUUCAACUAAUACUUGAGACUACUGACGGUACCGGAAGAAUAAGGACCGGCUAACUACGUGCCAGCCGCCGCCGUAACAC
rnacentral:rRNA from 1 species